rnacentral:rRNA from 1 species
CCCUUAGAUGUUCUGGGCCGCACGCGCGCUACACUGACGAAUGCAACGAGCUUAUAACCUUGGCCGAAAGGUCUGGGUAAUCUCCAAAUUUCGUCGUGAUGGGGAUAGAUUAUUGCAAUUAUUAAUCUUCAACGAGGAAUGCCUAGUAAGCGCAAGUCAUCAGCUUGCGUUGAUUACGUCCCUGCCCUUUGUACACACCGCCCGUCGCUCCUACCGAUUGAAUGGUCCGGUGAAGCGUUCGGACCGUGGCCUUUAGACGGUUCGCCGUCUGUUGGCUGCGGGAAGUUCGUUAAACCUUAUCAUUUAGAGGAAGGAGAAGUCGUAACA